rnacentral:lncRNA from 1 species
ACAACGGAAUGGAUCCCAGCCGGCGACCCAAAAAAAGACUUCUUAAAAGGGGGAAACGAAGCGGUCUUCUGGUCAGGCUCCGGAGACGGGCACAUCGUGCACCACUCCCUAGCAUUCUUCUCGCCAAUGUCCAGUCUCUUGACAACAAGGUUGAUGAAAUCCGAGCAAGGGUAGCAUUCCAGAGGGACAUCAGAGACUGAAAUGUUCUUUGCUUCACGGAAACAUGGCUCACUGGAGAGACGCUAUCGGAGUCGGUGCAGUCAACUGGUUUCUCCACGCAUCGCGCAGACAGAAACAAACAUCUUUCUGGUAAGAAGAGGGGCGGGGGCGUAUGCUUCAUGGUUAACGUGACGUGGUGUGAUCAUAACAACAUACAGGUACUCAAGUCCUUCUGUUCACCUGAUUUAGAAUUCCUCACAAUCAAAUGUCGACCGCACUAUCUACCAAGGGAAUUCUCUUCGAUUAUAAUCACAGCCGUAUAUAUUCCCCCCCAAGCAGACACAUCGAUGGCUCUGAACAAACUUUAUUUGACUCUUUGCAAACUGGAAUCCAUUUAUCCGGAGGCUGCAUUCAUUGUAGCUGGGGAUUUUAACAAGGCUAAUCUGAAAACAAGACUCCCUAAAUUUUAUCAGCAUAUCGAUUGCGCAACCAGGGCUGGAAAAACCUUGGAUCACUGCUAUUCUAACUUCCGCGACGCAUAUAAGGCCCUGCCCUGCCCUCCUUUCGGAAAAGCUGACCACGACUCCAUUUUGUUGAUCCCUGCCUACAGACAGAAACUAAAACAAGAAGCUCCCGCGCUGAGGUUUGUUCAACGCUGGUCCGACCAAUCUGAUUCCACACUCCAAGACUGCUUCCAUCACAUGGACUGGGAUAUGUUUCGUAUUGCGUCAGACAACAACAUUGACGAAUACGCUGAUUCGGUGAGCGAGUUCAUUAGAACGUGCGUUGAAGAUGUCGUUCCCAUAGUAACAAUUAAAACAUUCCCAAACCAGAAACCGUGGAUUGAUGGCAGCAUUCCCGUGAAACUGAAAGCCCGAACCACUGCUUUUAAUCAGGGCAAGGUGACCGGAAACAUGACCGAAUACAAACAGUGCAGCUAUUCCCUCCGCAAGGCAAUCAAACAAGCUAAGCGUCAGUAUAGAGACAAAGUAGAAUCUCAAUUCAACGGCUCAGACACAAGAGGUAUGUGGCAGGGUCUACAGUCAAUCACGGAUUACAAAAAGAAAACCAGCCCUGUCACGGACCAGGAUGUCUUGCUCCCAGGCAGACUAAAUAACUUUUUUGCCCGCUUUGAGGACAAUACAGUGCCACUGAUACAGCCCGCAACUAAAACAUGCGGACUCUCCUUCACUGCAGCCGACGUGAGGAAAACAUUUAAACGUAUCAACCCUCCCAAGGCUGCAGGCCCAGACGGCAUCCCCAGCCGCGCCCUCAGAGCAUGCGCAGACCAGCUGGCUGGUGUGUUUACGGACAUAUUCAAUCAAUCCCUAUCCCAGUCUGUUGUUCCCACAUGCUUCAAGAGGGCCACCAUUGUUCCUGUUCCCAAGAAAGCUAAGGUAACUGAGCUAAACGACUACCGCCCCGUAGCACUCACUUCCGUCAUCAUGAAGUGCUUUGAGAGACUAGUCAAGGACCAUAUCACCUCCACCCUACCUGACACCCAAGACCCACUCCAAUUUGCUUACCGCCCAAAUAGGUCCACAGACGAUGCAAUCUCAACCACACUGCACACUGCCCUAACCCAUCUGGACAAGAGGAAUACCUAUGUGAGAAUGCUGUUCAUCUACAGCUCGGCAUUUAACACCAUAGUGCCCUCCAAGCUCGUCAUCAAGCUGGGUCUCGACCCCGCCCUGUGCAACUGGGUACUGGACUUCCUGACGGGCCGCCCCCAGGUGGUGAGGGUAGGCAACAACAUUUCCACCCCGCUGAUCCUCAACACUGGGGCCCCACAAGGGUGCGUUCUGAGCCCUCUCCUGUACUCCCUGUUCACCCACGACUGCGUGGCCACGCAUGCCUCCAACUCAAUCAUCAAGUUUGCAGACGACACAACAGUGGUAGGCUUGAUUACCAACAACGACGAGACGGCCUACAGGGAGGAGGUGAGGGCCCUCGGAGUGUGGUGUCAGGAAAAUAACCUCACACUCAACGUCAACAAAACUAAGUAGAUGAUUGUGGACUUCAGGAAACAGCAGAGGGAACACCCCCCUAUCCACAUCGAUGGAACAGUAGUGGAGAGGGUAGUAAGUUUUAAGUUCCUCGGCGUACACAUCACAGACAAACUGAAUUGGUCCACCCACACAGACAGCAUCGUGAAGAAGGCGCAGCAGUGCCUCUUCAACCUCAGGAGGCUGAAGAAAUUCGGCUUGUCACCAAAAGCACUCACAAACUUCUACAGAUGCACAAUCGAGAGCAUCCUGUCGGGCUGUAUCACCGCCUGGUACGGCAACUGCUCAAAUGUUAUUUGUCGCAUACACAUGGUUAGCAGAUGUUAAUGCGAGUGUAGCAAAAUGCUUGUGCUUCUAGUUCCGACAAUGCAGUAAUAACCAACGAGUAAUCUAACCUAACAAUUUCACAACAAUUAACUUAUACACAUAAGUGUAAAGGGAUAAAG